UCGGGAAUUUUGGACAAUGGGCGAAAGCCUGAUCCAGCAAUGCCGCGUGCAGGAAGAAGGCCUUCGGGUUGUAAACUGCUUUUGUACGGAACGAAAAGGCUCUUUCUAAUAAAGAGGGCCCAUGACGGUACCGUAAGAAUAAGCACCGGCUAACUACGUGCCAGCAGCCGCGGUAAUACGUAGGGUGCGAGCGUUAAUCGGAAUUACUGGGCGUAAAGCGUGCGCAGGCGGUUCUAUAAGACAGAUGUGAAAUCCCCGGGCUCAACCUGGGAAUGGCAUUUGUGACUGUAGAGCUAGAGUACGGUAGAGGGGGAUGGAAUUCCGCGUGUAGCAGUGAAAUGCGUAGAUAUGCGGAGGAACACCGAUGGCGAAGGCAAUCCCCUGGACCUGUACUGACGCUCAUGCACGAAAGCGUGGGGAGCAAACAGGAUUAGAUACCCUAGUAGUCCCUGAGCGGGCUGGCAAGGCGCAU
rnacentral:rRNA from 1 species